CUAUACAUGACUCUGCGCAUAUCAAUAAGCGGAGGAAAAGAAACUAACAAGGAUUCCCCUAGUAACGGCGAGUGAAGCGGGAAGAGCUCAAAUUUGAAAUCUUAAAGGGUUUCCCUUUACGAAUUGUAGUUUAAAGAAGUGUUUUCUGUUGGAGUUGGCUAAAAGUUCUUUGGAAUAGGACAUCAUAGAGGGUGAGAAUCCCGUAUUUGGUCAUUCCUCCUAGCGUUGUGAUACACUUUCAACGAGUCGGAUUGUUUGGGAAUGCAGUCCAAAAUGGGUGGUAAAUUUCAUCUAAAGCUAAAUAUUGGCGAGAGACCGAUAGCGAACAAGUACCGUGAGGGAAAGAUGAAAAGAACUUUGAAAAGAGAGUUAAACAGUACGUGAAAUUGUCAAAAGGGAAGCGUUUGACACCAGUGUUGUUUUUCCGAAAAUCAAUUACGAAUGUUUUGUUUUUGAGGAAGUUAUGACUUCAUCGGCUUGCUUCUCUCUUUAUGAAACUUUCUUAAUGCACUUUUCGGUUAACAAGUCAACAUCAAUUUCUUUUGUUGUAAAAGGGUAAGAGGAAGGUGGCUUGCGUUUCGGAUAAAGUGUUUAUAGCCUUGUACCUCUGCAAUCGGAGAGAUUGAGGUCUGCAGCGUAGAUCCUUCGGGGUUAGAUACAUUUGUGCUAAGUUAUAGCUUUUCAUAGACAACUUGUUGACUAUGUUAGUCUUGUAGCUUACUCGCUGAUGCUAUUUUACCUACGCUUAGGAUGUUGAUAGUCACAGCGUGUAC
rnacentral:rRNA from 1 species